CUCUAAAAUCCCUCACCGUGCGUUUCUAUUUUGGAGCGCUUCGUCUCUAGCUUUUAUUCUUCCUUGCCGUUACUCUCAAAGUCUCUAAAAUAAAGUUCUCGCUGAAUCACGCUUCAGCCCUUCCCCAUGUUCGUCGAGCUUGCUCUUGCUGCCAAUGGAGAAGCAGUGAACAACGACGGCUUGAAGGAGAAACCCAAUCGACCACAUUCAUAACAGAUCGCGAGUUGGAUUCUCCUUUUUCAUCUGUUUUCAUUCCGCAAUCAAGGCUUCCGUUUCAAUUCCACCCCCUCUUCAAACCCCCAUUCGUUUUGUUCCGGUAUAAAGGUGAGUGAUCGUUUCAUUCGCUCUGUACAUUCCCCUUUGGUCUGAUUGUCUGCAUCAGAGAGAUCAGCUCCGGCGGCAUCAACUACUUUGUGCUUUGAAAUUUUGAUGUUGAGAGAGAUGUCCAAGACGACUUCAACAUUGUCGCAAGGUUUUGGAGCAUUUUCUUUUCAGACAAGCUUGGAAAUUGGGUGUACAGAACAUGAAUCCUCAAGGACUGCAAUGGGUAGCAGAGUAGGUGUGGUUUCUUUCCUUUUUUUUCUAAUGCAAUCUUCUUAAAUUUCGGUUCUUAUGUUUUUAUCUUUAUAACUUGCAUUAAGACUAACGUUUCUAAUCAAAUAAUUACGCCGUUUCCAAUCGUUGCUUCAGCUAGCGUUUUUUUGCCUUCACCAUAGGCAUCGCUGAAGCGACCAGAAAGGUUCUUCGAACUCACAUUCUUUCGUCUCGGCAAUUUCAUUCUUUAGUGCUCGAAAAUUAGGCAACCUUUAGCAGUCGAGAUGUGUGAGAUGGCUGUAUAUGGGAUGCGCAGCCCCUGCCUGCGGCGGAGAAAGGAACAACAGGGGAAAGAGUAAUAGAGAGGAAGCAUGAGAGAGAAGUGCACGCAACUGAACAGACUCUCAAAUUCUCUGAUCUUGCUGCCCUCUAAUACCAGGUUUCUUCAAAUCCCUUUAGUGUUUGUUUGUCUUCUUCGAUUUUAACUUAACUCUUGGUACUUAUCUUUUAUAAUUCAUAUAAUCUUCUUUUUGUCGCAUUUGGAUUCGAGGAUUAGUUUUUUCUUUUUUCCAUUUUCCUUUUACAAUCAAGCAGGUUUUGGAGAAUUUUUUCAAGCUCCGUGAUGCAAGAAAUAUGUUUUUUUCAGAAACUAUUAUAAAUUUUACCCAAGGUACUGCUCCUGUUCUUCCACCAUACUUCCGUUUGGAGUUGGUGCAAACUGAAAAAAGAAGUCACUUCUGAUUUUUACCAAUGUUAUCUACUUUUAAAUGUUCCUGAUCAAUUUCACAUGUAAUGGAAAAAAGGCAUAGUUUUCUUGAUUUUUAUACUUUCAAAUAAUUUUUGUUGUUUACAUAUUUCUUUUCUUAAGUAACUUCUUAACUGUUGCAAAAUAGCUUAGAAGAUCUAUUCAACCUCUUGCAUUUCAUGGGGGCUGAUCCUUGGUGCAGCUGGGCAUGGUCGCACUCGCACAGGCCGACUCAAAAGCCUUAUGAGAAUGGUGAUCUAUGAAUUUAGUCUGUUGUGCAUUUACUUAUUAGUACACAAUUCUUUUCCCCAUCCUCUGGUGUGACCCACAUUGAUGGCCAAUUGUAUGGCAACAAUCAACAGAUAUGAGCCAACUAUAUUCACAUGACUCUACAGGUGAAUUUUUAACAUUGAGAGUGUGGAAAACCGGGGAGCCAUGGUGCUUAUUCAUGCAGUAUGGAGAGGAUAGUUAUUAGGCGGUGUCAUUCAUCACCAUCAUCACCUUCAUUGUUGGUAAGAACCAAAGGAUUGUUGCUAGGACCCGGAAAAGAUGAAUGAGGGCCAUAACCAAGAGGGGGGUAUAAUGGCUGAUUUGAGUACCAAAUGCAGAGCUAAUUGGUAAAAAUAUAAAGAUAGAGAAAUUUGUGCCACAAGUAGAGGAGCUAAAAUAUGAGUUGGAGAGGUUUUUCAGAAGCUGCAUCACCAACACUAAGUGGCACAACCGAUCCUUCUCUCAGGGGAACUUGCACAUACAAAUCAUUGAAGACUGCAGUUCAGAUCACCAUCAAUUGUCUCAGCAAUGUUUCCAGUAGUCACCCUUCAAUAGAGGAUAUCCUCUUGAAUGUACAGUAUGGUUAAUUUUAUAAUUCAAUCAUGAAAUAGUACCCCAGAUUGUGUCGUAGCACUAUAUCUACAUGAAAGGAAUCACACUCCAAUUUUUGCCAAGGUUGGGACUUACUUUGUGGGGCAGUACUACCAUAUGCUUCAGAAUCAGCCAGAGAUCGUAUUGAAAGCUAAUGGAAGCUGAAAGUAAAAGGGAAGUAUUAAUUUUUUGGAGAAGUGAUCAAAGCCAUAUAGAGGCGGCAGCAGCAGGAAAACACUUAGAUGAUGCUAUUUGUUUGUUCAAUUGUCGUACGGUCCAUGCCUACCUAUGUAUAUGAGCUGCAAGAGAAUAUCACGGUUGCGAAAAAAGUGGGUUGAUCUUCUGUGCUUAAACACUGGUGGUGCAUAGAAGAAUGGAUGAUGUUGAGGCCAUGGAGUAGACACUUGAUCACUUGGACCCUGCACAGAAAGAGUUUCACAACUGAUUUUUUAUUUUGCCCAAGUUGAUAUUUCUUUAUUUUAAACUAUAUUCAUAUAAAUGAUCAGAUUUUAUGUCUUGGAGAAAUUACUGACAUAAAUUCAGUUUAUGUUGUUUAUCACUCUCAUUUGUAUUUUUUUUGUUACAUGCCUUUC